rnacentral:rRNA from 1 species
AACGAACGCUGGCGGCAGGCCUAACACAUGCAAGUCGAGCGAGGACUUCGGUCCUAGCGGCGGACGGGUGAGUAACGCGUGGGAACGUGCCCUUUGCUACGGAAUAGCCCCGGGAAACUGGGAGUAAUACCGUAUGUGCCCUUUGGGGGAAAGAUUUAUCGGCAAAGGAUCGGCCCGCGUUGGAUUAGGUAGUUGGUGGGGUAAUGGCCUACCAAGCCGACGAUCCAUAGCUGGUUUGAGAGGAUGAUCAGCCACACUGGGACUGAGACACGGCCCAGACUCCUACGGGAGGCAGCAGUGGGGAAUCUUAGACAAUGGGCGCAAGCUUGAUCUAGCCAUGCCGCGUGAGCGAUGAAGGCCUUAGGGUUGUAAAGCUCUUUCAGGGGGGAAGAUAAUGACUGUACCCCCAGAAGAAGCCCCGGCUAACUCCGUGCCAGCCGCCGCCGUAACAC